rnacentral:rRNA from 1 species
GGCCGCCGGGAAUACUGCAUAGCUAGGGAGUGGGAGAGGUAGACGGUACUCCGUAGGAAGGGGUAAAAUCCUUUGAUCUAUGGAUGACCACCUGUGGCGAAGGCGGUCUACCAGAACACGUUCGACGGUGAGGGAUGAAAGCUGGGGGAGCAAACCGGAUUAGAUACCCGGGUAGUCCCAGCUGUAAACGAUGCAAACUCAGUGAUGCAUUGGCUUGUGGCCAGUGCAGUGCCGCAGAGAAGUCGUUAAGUUUGCCGCCUGGGAAGUACGUACGCAAGUAUGAAACUUAAAGGAAUUGGCGGGGGAGCACCACAAGGGGUGAAGCCUGCGGUUCAAUUGGAGUCAACGCCAGAAAUCUUACCCGGAGAGACAGCAGAAUGAAGGUCAAGUUGAAGCCUUUACCAGACAAGCUGAGAAGUGGUGCAUGGCCGUCGCCAGCUCGUGCCGUGAGGUGUCCUGUUAAGUCAGGUAACGAGCGAGAUCCUUGCCUCUAGUUGCUACCAUUACUCUCAGGAGUAGUGGAGCGAAUUAGCGGGACUGCCGUAGUUAAUACGGAGGAAGGAGAGGGCCACGGCAGG